GAAAGUAAGUAAGGGCGUAUGGGGGAUGCCUAGGCUCUUGGAGGCUAAGAAGGACGUGGUAAGCUGCGAAAAGCUGCGGGGAUUUGCAAACGAGACUCGAUCCGCAGAUAUCCGAAUGGGACAACCCGGCAGGUAGAAGACCUGUCACACCGCGAGGUGAGCUAACCCUCUGAACUGAAACAUCUAAGUAGGAGGAGGAAAAGAAAGAAACAUCGAUUUCCAAAGUAGCGGCGAGCGAAAUGGAAGAAGCCCAAACCGAUAUUGUUACGGCAAUAUCGGGGUUGUAGGACUGCAAUAUUCAAUUAACAAUGAACUGGAAUGGUCUGGAAAGUCCAUCCAUAGAGAGUGAAAGGCUCGUACAGGUAAGUUUGUUAUGCGAUAGCAGUAUCCUGAGUAUGGCGGGACACGAGGAAUCCUGUCAGAAUCAGCCGGGACCACCCGGUAAGGCUAAAUACUCCCAAGAGACCGAUAGUGGACCAGUACUGUGAAGGAAAGGUGAAAAGAACCCCGAACAGGGGAGUGAAAUAGAACCUGAAACCAUACGCUUACAACCGGUCGGAGCAGCUUCGUGCUGUGACGGCGUGCCUAUUGAAUAAUGAGCCUACGAGUUACUAAUCACUAGCGAGGUUAAGUGCAAGGAUGCACGGAGCCGAAGCGAAAGCGAGUCUGAACAGGGCGUUUAGUUAGUGGUUGUAGACGCGAAACCUUGCGAUCUACCCUUGAGCAGGUUGAAGGUUGGGUAAAACCAACUGGAGGACCGAACGAAUAAGCGUUGAAAAGCUUCUCGAUGACUUGAGGGUAGGGGUGAAAGGCUAAUCAAGCUGGGAAAUAGCUCGUACUCCCCGAAAUGCCUUUUGGGGCAGCGUUGUAAUAAAGAGUCUACUGGAGGUAGAGCUACUGAUUGGAUGCGGGGGCUUCACCGCCUACCAAAUCCUGACAAACUCCGAAUGCCAGUAGUAUGAUUUACAGCAGUGAGUGACUGGGUGCUAAUGUCCAGUCGCAAAAGAGGAACAACUCAGACCAGCAACUAAGGUCCCGAAGAAUAUGCUAAGUUGAUCUAACGAUGUUUUGUUGCAGAGACAGCUAGGAUGUUAGCUUGGAAGCAGCUAUUCAUUCAAAGAGUGCGUAACAGCUCACUAGUCGAGCGACAGAGCGUGGAUAAUAAACGGGCAUCAAGCAUAUCACCGAAGUUCUGGGCGCGAGAGCGCGGUAGGGGAGCAUUCCAUUCAGCGUCGAAGCAGUUUCGUGAGGAAUUGUGGAGCGUAUGGAAAAGCAAAUGUAGGCAUGAGUAACGAUAAUGCGGGAGAGUAACCCGCACACCGCAAGACCAAGGUUUCCUGAUCAACGCUAAUCGGAUCAGGGUUAGUCGGGUCCUAAGGGUAAGCCGAACGGCGAUCUCGAUGGAUAAUCGGUUAAUAUUCCGAUACUAACAUAUACCUCGAUGGAGAGACGAAGGAACGUAAGUGCCGCCACCUGACGGAAUAGGUGGUUAAAGGGCGUAGGUAUAGGGGCAGAUUAAGAGUUAGUCCUUGCUGAAACCUGACAGUACAGAGAGCCUACGGGCAAUUUGAUAGAGCACCCAAGUCGACUUCCGAGAAAAUCUUCUAAGUUAUAGUAUAUGUUACCCGUACCGUAAACCGACACAGGUGGUCGAGGAGAGUAUCCUAAGGUGCUCGAGUGAAUCACGGUUAAGGAACUAGGCAAAUUAACCCCGUAACUUCGGGAAAAGGGGUCCCUACGCGAGUAGGGCGCAGCGAAGAGGUCCAGGCGACUGUUUAUCAAAAACACAGGGCUCUGCAAAUUCGAAAGAAGACGUAUAGGGCCUGACACCUGCCCGGUGCUGGAAGGUUAAGAGGGGAUGUCAUCGCAAGAGAAGCAUUGAAUCGAAGCCCCAGUAAACGGCGGCCGUAACUAUAACGGUCCUAAGGUAGCGAAAUUCCUUGUCGGGUAAGUUCC
rnacentral:rRNA from 1 species